rnacentral:rRNA from 1 species
CCUCCCGAGUGCUUGCACUCAAUUGGAAAGAGGAGUGGCGGACGGGUGAGUAACACGUGGGUAACCUACCCAUCAGAGGGGGAUAACACUUGGAAACAGGUGCUAAUACCGCAUAACAGUUUAUGCCGCAUGGCAUAAGAGUGAAAGGCGCUUUCGGGUGUCGCUGAUGGAUGGACCCGCGGUGCAUUAGCUAGUUGGUGAGGUAACGGCUCACCAAGGCCACGAUGCAUAGCCGACCUGAGAGGGUGAUCGGCCACACUGGGACUGAGACACGGCCCAGACUCCUACGGGAGGCAGCAGUAGGGAAUCUUCGGCAAUGGACGAAAGUCUGACCGAGCAACGCCGCGUGAGUGAAGAAGGUUUUCGGAUCGUAAAACUCUGUUGUUAGAGAAGAACAAGGACGUUAGUAACUGAACGUCCCCUGACGGUAUCUAACCAGAAAGCCACGGCUAACUACGUGCCAGCAGCCGCGGUAAUACGUAGGUGGCAAGCGUUGUCCGGAUUUAUUGGGCGUAAAGCGAGCGNNCAGGCGGUUUCUUAAGUCUGAUGUGAAAGCCCCCGGCUCAACCGGGGAGGGUCAUUGGAAACUGGGAGACUUGAGUGCAGAAGAGGAGAGUGGAAUUCCAUGUGUAGCGGUGAAAUGCGUAGAUAUAUGGAGGAACACCAGUGGCGAAGGCGGCUCUCUGG